rnacentral:rRNA from 1 species
UACGGAGGAUCCGAGCGUUAUCCGGAUUUAUUGGGUUUAAAGGGUGCGCAGGCGGGAAAUUAAGUCGGCGGUGAAAUUUUGCAGCUCAACUGUAAAAGUGCCUUCGAAACUGGUUUCCUUGAGUGUAGAUGAAGUAGGCGGAAUUUGUGGUGUAGCGGUGAAAUGCAUAGAUAUCACGAGGAACUCCGAUUGCGCAGGCAGCUUACUAAACUACUACUGACGCUCAGGCACGAAGGCGUGGGGAUCAAACAGGAUUAGAUACCCUGGUAGU